rnacentral:rRNA from 1 species
AUUGAACGCUGGCGGCAGGCCUAACACAUGCAAGUCGAGCGAGCGGCGGACGGGUGAGUAAUGCCUGGGAAUUGCCCAGUCGAGGGGGAUAAAAGUUGGAAACGACUGCUAAUACCGCAUACGAUUGGAUUGCCCAGGUGGGAUGGGCUAGUUGGUGAGGUAAUGGCUCACCAAGGAGACGAUCCCUAGCUGGUCUGAGAGGAUGAUCGGCCACACUUGAACUGAGACACGUUCCAGACUCCGACGGUAGGCAGCAGUGGGGAAUAUUGCGCAAUGGGGGAAACCCUGAUGCAGCCAUUCCGCGUGUGUGAAGAAGGCCUUCGGGUUGUAAAGCACUUUCAGCGGGGAGGCGUUACUCGCAGAAGAAGCACCGGCUAACUCCGUGCCAGCCGCCGCGGUAAUAC